rnacentral:rRNA from 1 species
GAUGAACGCUAGCGGGAGGCCUAACACAUGCAAGCCGAGCGGUAGAGUUCCUUCGGGGACUUGAGAGCGGCGCACGGGUGCGGAACACGUGUGCAACCUGCCUUUAUCUGGGGGAUAGCCUUUCGAAAGGAAGAUUAAUACCCCAUAAUAUAUUGAUUCGCAUGGAUUGAUAUUGAAAACUCAGGUGGAUAAAGAUGGGCACGCGCAAGAUUAGAUAGUUGGUGAGGUAACGGCUCACCAAGUCAGUGAUCUUUAGGGGGCCUGAGAGGGUGAUCCCCCACACUGGUACUGAGACACGGACCAGACUCCUACGGGAGGCAGCAGUGAGGAAUAUUGGACAAUGGGUGAGAGCCUGAUCCAGCCAUCCCGCGUGAAGGAUGACGGCCCUAUGGGUUGUAAACUUCUUUUGUACAGGGAUAAACCUAGAUACGUGUAUCUAGCUGAAGGUACUGUACGAAUAAGCACCGGCUAACUCCGUGCCAGCCGCCGCCGUAACAC